UACGUAGGGUGCAAGCGUUGUCCGGAAUUAUUGGGCGUAAAGAGCUCGUAGGCGGUCUGUCGCGUCGGCUGUGAAAACUCGGGGCUCAACUCCGAGCUUGCAGUCGAUACGGGCAGGCUAGAGUUCGGCAGGGGAGACUGGAAUUCCUGGUGUAGCGGUGAAAUGCGCAGAUAUCAGGAGGAACACCGGUGGUGUAGACGGCUCUCUGGACCGUAACUGACGCUGAGACACGAAAGCGUGGGUAGCAAACAGG
rnacentral:rRNA from 1 species